CUACAAUAAUUAUUAUUAAUUGAACUCCAAAUGUAACAAUAUUCGUACAAAAUCUAGAUCCAAAAUUCUAAAACACCUAAAAAUUCAAUACAUUUUCCAAAAAAAAAAAAAAAAACUAAGUAGUGAGUAAAACCACCUCAUCGGCCUCCCUAAUUUUCUUCUCAGCAAUAUUUGACACGAGUUUGCCUUUAGUAUAGAUCCUGUCCUAUGAAAAAAGAAGAUAAAGAUAGAUACCACAUUUUAGGCAUUUGCCCCAAUUAUAAUAGAGAAAAAAGCAAAGAAAAAUAAGUAUGUUGAUGAAAAAGUUUUAAUAUCUUGACAGCUCAAACUUCAACUCCACCACAAAAACAUUAUCUAGAUAAAAGGAGGUUGCUCAGAAGUAUAUCACACAUCCAUCUUGAGUCGACUAAACACCUAUAGCUACCCUAUCAUUUAUAACCCAAUAGAAAGGCGUGAGACAAACUAAAAUGCCAAGCAAGAUAAAGAUAACUGCUAACCUUGUGUGUAAAACCUUGCUAUUAACAUGGUAUAAUGAAACUUUGGCUGAUCACUGCUUCAACUUUGGGAUGUGUUCUGGAAGGGCAACUUGAAAUUUAUUUUUCUUUCUGUUCAUAGAUUUAAAGCCUAAUGCCCUGGUCUAAUGAUGAAAAUUCUUCUUCCAAGUUCCUCGACAAAAACUCCAUUCUUGUAUAACAACCUACACAAAAAUCAUUUGCAACUAUUAACUAAAAUAACAAAAUCCCUUGGAGCAUUUCAAUCAUUUUUACAAAACUUAUAUGCUUAACCUAAUCAUUCAUCGAUUUCUGGCUAAUUUCUUCAAUCCUAUAUUACUAGAUUAAUUUCCUGCUUCAGGUGCCAAACCGUAGCCUAAAAAAUUAAUCUACAUUUCCUUUUCUUUUUUCUUUUUUUCUAUAUUUUCAGUUGAUCUUAUGGCCAAAAAUUCAAUAUAAAAUGACCUAUACACAGUACACGUUAUAUUAUGCCUUGGAUAACAGUGAAAAUUGAUAAAACCAAAACUUUCUCUAGCUAAUCAUACAAAGAACUUCAAAUCCUCCAGGUAAGUUGACAUUAAUCCAAAUCUCAGCACAUUUUAACAAUGCAUAGACUUAGAUAAUUUUGAAAAUUUUAAUUCAAUGCAUAGACUUAGAUAAUUUUGAACAAUAGUGGAAAUCUAAACAGCAAGUGCAAAGGUCAUCAGAACCGCCAGUGCCGCCACAGAGUGCACAGCCGACUUACUCCCACAAGAUAACAUCUCCAAACUAAUAUGGAUCACAUUUACUGUUGACAGCAUAGAAAACAGGCACCCCAUCAUAGAACCAAUGACGGAGGCCAACAUCCCAAACCUUAACACCUUCAAAUUUAUAUGGGACCUAAAGAUCUCAUCCACAUCCUUGCUAUUCAACAAAUUAAUGGCCAAUUAAGGCCUUGGGCCGCUAGAGAAGAAAAUAGAAAGAAGCUGAAAGACACGACCUCGAAAAUGGAGUUUCUCAGCCACGUCGAUAUGUUUUUGAGGCUGUGCUGACCGGGAGUCAUCAAUGAGAGACCCACAAAGACUGCUACAGUAAAGAGGGAAUUAACAUUUACCAGGCCAUCUACGGCGGUGAGAUGGAUGCUGGUGGUGGUAGUUGAUUCUCUUGGGUAAGAUUUAGAUCUGCACAAAUCAAGAAAGAAAAAUCCCAUCAGAAUCUUGAAUUCAUUUAUGAAUAACGUACAGAUAGUGGUACUUAUAGAGACAUGAUUAGGUGUUCUUGGGGUAUGAAAUAUGUAUUUCCAGCUUGAAAUUUUGGUGAUUCUUGGAGGGUUUAGGGUUGUGUGUGUUUGUGACUUUGUGAGUGGGAGAGAGAGCAAGAGAGAUAAA
rnacentral:lncRNA from 1 species